rnacentral:rRNA from 1 species
UACAGAGGUCCCAAGCGUUGUUCGGAUUCACUGGGCGUAAAGGGUGCGUAGGCGGCCUUCUAAGUCUGAUGUGAAAUCCCGCAGCUUAACUGCGGAACUGCAUCGGAUACUAGUUGGCUUGAGGAUUGGAAGGGAGACUGGAAUUCUUGGUGUAGCAGUGAAAUGCGUAGAUAUCAAGAGGAACACCAGUGGCGAAAGCGAGUCUCUGGACAAUUCCUGACGCUGAGGCACGAAAGCCAGGGGAGCAAACGGG